UCGCCCUUAGAGUUUGAUCCUGGCUCAGGUUUAACGCUAGCGGUGCGCCUAAUACAUGCAAGUCGAGCGAGGCUUCGAGCCGAGCGGCGGACGGGUGAGUAACACGUUGGUACCUGCCCCAUACUCAGGGAUAAGCCUUGGAAACGAGGUCUAAUACCGGAUAGUCCCGCAAGGGUAAAGCUUUCGCGGUAUGGGAGGGGCCUGCGGUCCAUCAGCUAGUUGGUAAGGUAACGGCUUACCAAGGCUAUGACGGAUAGCUGGUGUGAGAGCAUGACCAGCCAGAAUGGAACUGAGACACGGUCCAUACUCCUACGGGAGGCAGCAGUAAGGAAUCUUCCGCAAUGGGCGAAAGCCUGACGGAGCGACACCGCGUGAAGGAUGACACCCCUCGGGGCGUAAACUUCUUUUCUGAGUGAAUAAAUUUUGAAGUUAACUCAGGAAUAAGCGACGGCUAACUACGUGCCANCAGCCGCGGUAAUACCGUAGGUCGCAAGCGUUAA
rnacentral:rRNA from 1 species